rnacentral:rRNA from 1 species
UGGGGAAUUUUGGACAAUGGGGGAAACCCUGAUACAGCCAUCCCGCGUGUGCGAUGAAGGCCUUCGGGUUGUAAAGCACUUUUGGCAGGAAAGAAACGUCAUGGGUUAAUACCCCGUGAAACUGACGGUACCUGCAGAAUAAGCACCGGCUAACUACGUGCCAGCAGCCGCGGUAAUACGUAGGGUGCAAGCGUUAAUCGGAAUUACUGGGCGUAAAGCGUGCGCAGGCGGUUCGGAAAGAAAGAUGUGAAAUCCCAGAGCUCAACUUUGGAACUGCAUUUUUAACUACCGGGCUAGAGUGUGUCAGAGGGAGGUGGAAUUCCGCGUGUAGCAGUGAAAUGCGUAGAUAUGCGGAGGAACACCGAUGGCGAAGGCAGCCUCCUGGGAUAACACUGACGCUCAUGCACGAAAGCGUGGGGAGCAAACAGG